rnacentral:lncRNA from 1 species
UCUGUCCAGGUCUGUUUUAGGCUGCGUCGGUCUGUCUGUCUGGGUCUGUUUCAGGCUGUGUCUGUCUGUCUGUCUGGGUCUGUUUCAGGCUGUGUCUGUCUGUCUGUCCGGGUCUGUUUCAGGCUGUGUCUGUCUGUCUGUCCGGGUCUGUUUCAGGCUGUGUCUGGGUCUGUUUCAGGCUGUCUGUCUGUCUGUCUGGGUCUGUUUCAGGCUGUGUCUGUCUGUCCGGGUCUGUUUCAGGCUGUGUCUGUCUGUCCAGGUCUGUUUCAGGCUGUAUGUG